rnacentral:rRNA from 1 species
GUCUACAGCCAUCCCACCCUGAACAAGCCCGAUCCUAUCUGAGCUCAGAAGCUAAGCAGAGUCAGGCCUGGUUAGUACUGCUCAGAAGCUAAGCAGAGUCAGGCCUUGGUUAGUACUUGGAUGGGAGACCACCUAGGAAGACCAGGUGCUGUAGGCA